rnacentral:lncRNA from 1 species
GAAAGAGUUGUUCGCAAGCCAGUCUACGCAAAAGGGAGUAGAUUGACUCGAACCGUCCAUUCUCGCGCUAACAUGUAGCGGAUACUAUGCACAAUGGAUGCGUUUGACUCAUAACAACCCUUCUCAAUAAGCUCCGCCACUUAUUAGGAAUCGACUUCCAGACUUCCUUAUCCCUGGGCCCCAAACUCUAUUGAAACCUGUGAAUACACCCACCCCUGUGAAUACACCUACCCCAGAGUUCCGCUUUUGUCGAUGAGGCAGAUACCAAUCAUGUACGUAAACCCAGGUCGAGUCGAUGAGGCAGGUCAAAAUCAUGUACGUAAACCCAGCAACCGCGGAAACUUGGGAAUCUCUAAACAAACCACCAGCUCCUGCCAACCCCACCGAAUACGGACUUUAAGGCACAAUUAAUAUAAAACAGAUCACUUUCAUAGCGAUAAUGCUCUCAAAUCAAAGUAAGGCAAAGCCACUGAGCAAGAUGGAUGCCACUGAACUAGCAGCAGCCAUAAAGAGUUCAAAUAUCAGAGGAAAAAUCGGGAUGUUCAAUAUUGUAUUGUCGAAACUUCAUUCUCUGUUUUUCUUUUAGUACAAUAGGUAUUAUUCUUUUUCGGGGACAUAUUUACUCUAGCCAAUAAGGAUAUCUCUAGCCAAGAAGAUAGGCGCCGAGCUUAAUCCGGUGGUAUGAUAGUCUUAGCCUUCUGGGUCCUAUCCUUCUUGCUUGGCUCGAAACCUAACUCAAUGGCAACCUGCUUUUCUUUUGGAUUUCUCGAAAUGGGUCUGGAGUCCGGCUUGCUUAGGUCGAGUAAGCUUCUCAUUAGCUCGUUUUGAGGCUUUCAACAUCACAACAUCAGUGUAGGAGCCAUAGCUCUUGACUUAGAGGGUAAUGUACCCAAUGUCUUUCUCACUUAGUGAAGAGAUCACGAAUAAGGUUAAGGUAGAGAUUGAAUGUCUCCGGAGGGGUUGCUUUACCUGAACCUAUGUAUAGCCCUGUUUACAGUUGGCGAAGAAGAACGUCUGAUUCUAGGCAUGACAUUAAAUGAAAAGAGUGACUUCGGUGCUUGAUUUCAUCAUCUCCCAUGCAACCCUUCUUUAUCGGGAUAGCAACUACCCUUUGUUCAUGACCUACUUGCCUUAGACUACCUUACUUUGAAAGAUUGGGAUCUUUCCUGCACACUGUACAUAUAACAAACUACCUAACUAUUAAGAUUGGGAUCUUUCCUGCACACUGCACAUAUAACUAACAAGAAUUCCAAUUACCGGAUAACGAUACAUUCUAAGAAAGAGCUAUUCUGACAUUCUAAGAAAGCUAUGAUAUUAGAAAAACCAAACUUGAUAAGCGGUACUAGCUAGCACAACUGAGGAGGUGCCAACCAACCCGAUAUUUGAGCAUUUGUGAGUUUAGGAUAGUCGCAUUCUUUGCUUACCGAUGCUUUCUGUACACGAGUAGCGAGCGUAGUAC